AACGAACGCUGGCGGCAUGCCUAACACAUGCAAGUCGAACGAGACCUCCGGGUCUAGUGGCGCACGGGUGCGUAACGCGUGGGAACCUGCCCUUAGGUUCGGAAUAACUCCCCGAAAGGGGUGCUAAUACCGGAUAAUGUCUUCGGACCAAAGAUUUAUCGCCUUUGGAUGGGCCCGCGUUGGAUUAGCUAGUUGGUAGGGUAAAAGCCUACCAAGGCGACGAUCCAUAGCUGGUCUGAGAGGAUGAGCAGCCACACUGGGACUGAGACACGGCCCAGACUCCUACGGGAGGCAGCAGUGGGGAAUAUUGGACAAUGGGCGAAAGCCUGAUCCAGCAAUGCCGCGUGAGUGAUGAAGGCCUUAGGGUUGUAAAGCUCUUUUACCCGGGAUGAUAAUGACAGUACCGGGAGAAUAAGCUCCGGCUAACUCCGUG
rnacentral:rRNA from 1 species